UUUGAAAGCUGUAAAGUUGAUUAAAAAGUGGUCGCUCCACUGGCCGAUGAACUCACAAGUGUAGGUAGUGUGCUACAUGAGGGGCAAGUUUUUCACUAACAUCACAAGGGUCUCUGGCCCAAUGAGUGGAGUUUUGAUAGUAAUACUUGCUACAAAU
ensembl:snoRNA SNORA62 Small nucleolar RNA SNORA62/SNORA6 family